rnacentral:lncRNA from 1 species
GGAGGCAGGGCGAGGUGGCCUGGAAAGUGCAAAGGGAUGUGAGGCUGUCUGUGGUGUUACUGCCUGGGGACCGGAGGCCUUUGUGCCCUCCUUCCCCCAGCUCAAGAGAAGUGGCCUUUCUAGAGCACAGUGAAGUUAGGACGAGCUAUGUGUUACAAAUAGGGAUGUUGUUAAAGUUGCCAGUACCAAAAUGGAGUCACCUGUGUCAAACGCUUAACCAAACGGAGAUGAGGGAGGCCAUAAGGAAGCCGUCACACACACAUCCCUGUAACAGGACUAUCACAAGAACUUCCUCAAGAUUGCAGUGUUCCAGCUAAGCCACUCACACAAGGACACUCACCUUGCAAUGGCUGAUGAACAAAGGCCGGCUCCUACGAUGAGCUUGUGACCUGUGAUCUUUGUUUCAAAGCGGCUUGUGUGGACUUCUCUGUGUCUUUAAGACUCCCCUUUGCCCUGACUCCUCUGGAUAUGCCUGUGGUCUGUUAUAACACACAUACCCCAGAUUGCAAUCUUCUGCUAUUCCCAAAUAAACUCAUUUGUUCUGGA